CCCGGGCCUUGUACACACCGCCCGUCACAUCAUGGGAGUUGGUUUUACCCGAAGUUACUGACCUGACCGCAAGGAAGGAGGUACCUAAGGUAAGGCCGAUGACUGGGAUG
rnacentral:rRNA from 1 species